GAUGAAGAACGUAGCGAAAUGCGAUAAGUAGUGUGAAUUGCAGAAUUCCGUGAAUCAUCGAAUCUUUGAACGCACAUUGCGCCCGGCAGUAAUCUGCCGGGCAUGCCUGUCCGAGCGUCAUUUCUACCCUCGAGCGAGUCCAGCAUCUAGGUGCUGGGCCUCGCCCGGCGUUGGAGCACUACGGGAAGCCCUGUGCUGUCCCCCGUAGGCCCCGAAAUGAAGUGGCGGUCCUGCCGCGGCGCCCCCUGCGUAGUAUAACAGCUCGCUUCGGGACCCGGUGGAGGCCUGCCGUCAAACCUAUACUCUCUAAGUUUGACCUCGGAUCAGGUAGGGUUACCCGCUGAACUUAAGCAUAUCAAUAAGCGGAGGA
rnacentral:misc_RNA from 1 species